rfam:Pseudomonas sp. 63_8 DS1215_scaffold_380, whole genome shotgun sequence.
GCGUGACGCCGGGCCCCUCUGGCGGUGAGUUUUCUCACCGUGAUGUCGGAGUCACUGA